rnacentral:rRNA from 1 species
ACAAACCGGAGGAAGGUGGGGAUGACGUCAAGUCCUCAUGGCCCUUAUGCUAGGGCUUCACACGUCAUACAAUGGUCGGUACAGAGGGUUGCCAACCCGCAGGGGGAGCCAAUCCCACAAAGCCGAUCGUAGUCCGGAUUGCAGUCUGCAACUCGACUGCAUGAAGUCGGAAUCGCUAGUAAUCGCGGAUCAGCAUGUCGCGGUGAAUACGUUCCCGGGUCCUU